CAACCCUCAGAGCUCAAACUCUGGUGUUGGGGCUCUCUGCGACUGCCGCAGGCCCUGAAAAGCAGUGGCGGGCUCCGCUAUACUCCGAGCGCAGUAAUACUUCUCGCUUAGGGCGUAUAGCGGGGAUCUAGCUUUACUCAUUUUUUAAAA
rnacentral:misc_RNA from 1 species